rnacentral:lncRNA from 1 species
GGGGAAAAUAAAUUUGAUUUCUGUGAAGUCUUUUUCUCCCCUCUGGAGAUGAGAAAGUUGGUAUUAUGCUACUUUGCUGCAGAAUUGGCUAAUGUCAUUUUACAGGGACCUUCACUUCUGUGAUUUCUCCUUCCCUCCCCACCAGGAAAGUCACACUGCCUCCAAGACAUCUGAUGCUUUGACACUCUUCCUUAGCACAACUCUGCUAAACCCCAAUCCCUUUUGUAAAACCUUUAUGUUGAUGAUCCACAUGGGGCAGCAGGGAUUACAGGUGCCAUGAAUAAAAAAUAGGGGAGGGGGAAAGAAAUUUGAGGACGGUUAGAGGGGUGGAGUUGAGAUAAACUGAUCCUAGGUGAGCAGAGGGGAAAGAUAUG